GUUUAUAUAGUUUAAUAAAAACGCCACAUUUUCAGCGUGAAAUUGGAUGGAACAAUCCUAUAAAUU
rnacentral:tRNA from 1 species